CCUACGGGUGGCUGCAGUGGGGAAUAUUGGACAAUGGGCGAAAGCCUGAUCCAGCCAUGCCGCGUGUGUGAAGAAGGCCUUCGGGUUGUAAAGCACUUUCAGUGGGGAAGAAAGCCUUGGGGCUAAUACCCUCGAGGAAGGACAUCACCCACAGAAGAAGCACCGGCUAACUCCGUGCCAGCAGCCGCGGUAAUACGGAGGGUGCGAGCGUUAAUCGGAAUUACUGGGCGUAAAGCGCGCGUAGGCGGUCUGAUAAGCCGGUUGUGAAAGCCCCGGGCUCAACCUGGGAACGGCAUCCGGAACUGUCAGGCUAGAGUGCAGGAGAGGAAGGUAGAAUUCCCGGUGUAGCGGUGAAAUGCGUAGAGAUCGGGAGGAAUACCAGUGGCGAAGGCGGCCUUCUGGACUGACACUGACGCUGAGGUGCGAAAGCGUGGGUAGCAAACAGGAUUAUAUACCCUAGUAGUC
rnacentral:rRNA from 1 species